UUAUUCUAGGAUGCCCUUAGAAGCGUUUUCCGGUAUAUCUGACACUAAAAUUCGUGCGCUUUUUAUGGGAUUUUUUGGCAUAUAUUUUCAAUAUGUUCGUUGAUGAAGUCCAUCAACGGAGGGUUAAAGGUUCGAAUUACACGCAUGUUGCAAAAAUAGUACAUGUAAAUUUAAUAACUGAAAUUACAGGUACGAUUAGUGAAUGCACUAUGCUUUUCGUGCACCGGAUUUGUUCACUUAAACUUUCCAAAAACACACCGCCGUCGCUCUUUUGUUGUUGCGAAUUCGUCAGCAAUCGCACACAGGUCUAGCGAAUCUGUUUUGUCCUUGUGGAUAUGUAACAUCAUUAGAUUGUUCAAACGCACUUGGGUCAUUGUCGAACGCAAGUAUGUUUUGAUGCGCCGAAGUGCGGAGAAUGUGCGCUCACUGGUAGCGUUUGUAGCUGGCAUUACUAAUAGUAUCUUCAGCAAUACCACGACCUCCGAGAAUAGUGCUCGCUCUGGCACUGACUGGUCUGACAGAAAUUUCAUGACGUCAGCGAGCGCAACUUUCCCCUGUUCAGCGUUCACGAAAUGGGCACGUAGCACCUGUAGCUGUGCCUCUAAUCUGUCGCGGUUGACGUCACUACCAUAGAACUCACACACAAAGUCUAGCCUGGUACCCGAGGCCUUCCGAUGUUCAAAGAACGAAGGCCAGGCAUCGGAUGUCGAAUGGAUUCUUCCACUGAUCAAAAUCCAAUAUGGCGGACUCAAUGAUGAAUUUCCAUACAUAUGGAAAGAAGAAACACAUGAUAGUAGAUGAAAAAACACCCUCAUAUAUAAUGCUUCAUGAAUAUGCAAAACCAUGCCAACAGACUCCAGAUGGAAAAAGACAUCGAGAAAGAAAUUCUAAAGGGGUAUUCAAGGACCCAUCCUCCUCCACACUAAUUCAUAUUGGAAGGAAUUAACAUCCAACUUGAAUGAAGAAUUACAAACUUCCAGAACAGACCCUUUAAAAAAGGAGAAGCCAGAUCUUCAGAAGACUUCCUUGAAAAUGAGAAUUUUUUGAGUGGAAGUGAAGAAUAUGGGAUGCAUACAAGCAGACAUCAGCAUUCCCUCCCUCUUGUUUGUAUCAGAGGUGAGCUUUUUGAGAAAGACUUAUGGAGGAAGUUUGAGAGUGUCAGUUCUCAAAUCAAGAAGUUAUCUAACAGUAGGAGGAGUAGUAAUUCAUUCCACUGUAUGGCCAGAGAAAUAUAUGACAUAAAAGACCCAAAAAAGGAGAUUUGGCAUUGUUUCAUGUGGAAAUUGAAGAAUCUUUGAAAUGGAUACAUGCAACACAGACAUGUUUCAGUUACUUGGGGAUAAAACUUAUGAGGAAUUUUGCUAACUUUCAGAUGGGAAUGUGUUGCACAAGAAAUGCUUGAUCACAACCUUCUUUUAUUAGAAACCUUUUCUAUGCAAAUAAUUAUUUUAAAUGAAAUUUAAUAGCUAUUUCAUUAGACUAGUAAACAUGUUUUCUGUGCAAGUGUGUGUCUUUGACAUUAAAUGCUAUGAUAUAUUGAAGUAUUUUUAAACAAUGGAAGAUCUCUACUAGUUCUUUCAAAGGAAAGCCAACAACAGGAAUCGAACCUGUUCCUCCAUCGUACAGAUACGAAAGUGUGCACCAGUACACCAUGUUGGCAUAUAUUAAGAACUAGUAUCCUUGGAGAGUACAUAUUGUAUUAUUCUUGUACAGUUGAUACUGGUUGGUGUGAUAUAUAUAGAUGUAUAUAUAUAAUAUACAUACAGCUUAGUAUAAAUAAUGCAUGCCUCGUGUUUGCUAGUCGUCAAUAAAGCAUUUGAAUUGAA